rnacentral:misc_RNA from 1 species
CCGAGUUAGGGUCUCCUCCGUGAGGCCCGACCUCCCAACCCCGUGUCUAAUAAACCUGUUUGUGUUGCUUCGGCGGAACGGCAGUUACCCACCCCCACACCCGGGGGAGGGAGACCGUCGCCGGGGGAUUCCACGGUCUCACGACCGCCCCUGGAGAGCGUCCGCCGAUGGCCCCAACCAAAUAACUACCAAACC